rnacentral:rRNA from 1 species
CCUACGGAUGGCUGCAGUGGGGAAUAUUGGACAAUGGGGGGAACCCUGAUCCAGCCAUGCCGCGUGUGUGAAGAAGGCCCUCGGGUUGUAAAGCACUUUCAGUGAGGAAGAACGCCUGGUGGUUAAUACCCAUCAGGAAAGACAUCACUCACAGAAGAAGCACCGGCUAACUCCGUGCCAGCAGCCGCGGUAAUACGGAGGGUGCGAGCGUUAAUCGGAAUUACUGGGCGUAAAGCGCGCGUAGGUGGCUUGAUAAGCCGGUUGUGAAAGCCCCGGGCUCAACCUGGGAACGGCAUCCGGAACUGUCAAGCUAGAGUGCAGGAGAGGAAGGUAGAAUUCCCGGUGUAGCGGUGAAAUGCGUAGAGAUCGGGAGGAAUACCAGUGGCGAAGGCGGCCUUCUGGACUGACACUGACACUGAGGUGCGAAAGCGUGGGUAGCAAACAGGAUUAGAUACCCUGGUAGUC